rnacentral:rRNA from 1 species
GAGUUUGAUCAUGGCUCAGAACGAACGCUGGCGGCAGGCCUAACACAUGCAAGUCGAGCGAGACCUUCGGGUCUAGCGGCGGACGGGUUAGUAACGCGUGGGAACGUGCCCUUCUCUGCGGAAUAGCCACUGGAAACGGUGAGUAAUACCGCAUACGCCCUUCGGGGGAAAGAUUUAUCGGAGAAGGAUCGGCCCGCGUUAGAUUAGAUAGUUGGUGGGGUAACGGCCUACCAAGUCUACGAUCUAUAGCUGGUUUUAGAGGAUGAUCAGCAACACUGGGACUGAGACACGGCCCAGACUCCUACGGGAGGCAGCAGUGGGGAAUCUUAGACAAUGGGCGCAAGCCUGAUCUAGCCAUGCCGCGUGUGUGAUGAAGGUCUUAGGAUCGUAAAGCACUUUCGCCAGGGAUGAUAAUGACAGUACCUGGUAAAGAAACCCCGGCUAACUCCGUGCC